GCAAGUCGAACGGAGCUUAGAGAGCUUGCUUUUUAAGCUUAGUGGCGAACGGGUGAGUAACGCGUGAGUAACCUGCCCUAGAGUGGGGGACAACAGUUGGAAACGACUGCUAAUACCGCAUAAGCCCACGGUACCGCAUGGUACUGAGGGAAAAGGAUUUAUUCGCUUUAGGAUGGACUCGCGUCCAAUUAGCUAGUUGGUGAGGUAACGGCCCACCAAGGCGACGAUUGGUAGCCGGACUGAGAGGUUGAACGGCCACAUUGGGACUGAGACACGGCCCAGACUCCUACGGGAGGCAGCAGUGGGGGAUAUUGCACAAUGGGGGAAACCCUGAUGCAGCGACGCCGCGUGGAGGAAGAAGGUCUUCGGAUUGUAAACUCCUGUUGUUGAGGAAGAUAAUGACGGUACUCAACAAGGAAGUGACGGCUAACUACGUGCCAGCAGCCGCGGUAAAACGUAGGUCACAAGCGUUGUCCGGAAUUACUGGGUGUAAAGGGAGCGCAGGCGGGAAGACAAGUUGGAAGUGAAAUCUAUGGGCUCAACCCAUAAACUGCUUUCAAAACUGUUUUUCUUGAGUAGUGCAGAGGUAGGCGGAAUUCCCGGUGUAGCGGUGGAAUGCGUAGAUAUCGGGAGGAACACCAGUGGCGAAGGCGGCCUACUGGGCACCAACUGACGCUGAGGCUCGAAAGUGUGGGUAGCAAACAGGAUUAGAUACCCUGGUAGUCCAUGCCGUAAACGAUGAUUACUAGGUGUUGGAGGAUUGACCCCUUCAGUGCCGCAGUUAACACAAUAAGUAAUCCACCUGGGGAGUACGACCGCAAGGUUGAAACUCAAAGGAAUUGACGGGGGCCCGCACAAGCAGUGGAGUAUGUGGUUUAAUUCGAAGCAACGCGAAGAACCUUACCAGGUCUUGACAUCCGAUGCAUAGCACAGAGAUGUGUGAAAUCCUUCGGGACAUCGAGACAGGUGGUGCAUGGUUGUCGUCAGCUCGU
rnacentral:rRNA from 1 species